UACGAGGGGUGCAAGCGUUGCUCGGAAUUAUUGGGCGUAAAGGGUAGGUAGGUGGUCUCAUUUGUCCGGGGUGAAAGCCUUGAGCUUAACUCAAGAAGUGCCUCGGAAACGGUGAGACUAGAGUCUUGGAGAGGGUCGUGGAAUUCCCGGUGUAGAGGUGAAAUUCGUAGAUAUCGGGAGGAACACCGGUGGCGAAGGCGGCGAUCUGGGUCGAUACUGACGCUGAGGUGCGAAAGCGUGGGGAGCAAACAGG
rnacentral:rRNA from 1 species